ACAGUUCCUCGUAGUUUUGACCUGCUGAAAUGGAGAAAAUUGCAAUUGGAUGGAGAAAAGAUUUGAUCAAAUGGCUUCUAGAACCAGUAGCAAGAUUUCAGUGAACUUGUGUUGAAUAUUCUUGGCACAAAAAAUGUCAACAGGUCUGGCUGUGUUCAAGGAUGAGUCAAAUCUACAUUGUAUUUGAUUGGACAUUCCUAACAUUUUGAAAUGGUGAAUUUAUCAACUUCUCUGUCAAGGACAAAAAAAGAUCCUUUCCCUAAGGGUGUGUCUGCAUGGGUAUCUAACAACUGAUCUCCAGCAGUUAAUAUUAUGUCCUAAUGUUUGUUACCAAUGGCAUUGAAUUCAAUUUUAUCAGUUUAUAUGUGAUGGUAACUUACAAAACAAAGCCAAACAGACAAAAGCAGAUUUUGAAUAAGAUUUUCAGACUUACAGUUGGAAGGGUGUGGUUUUCUUGUUUGUUUUUUUUCCUCACAGAUGAUAUUUUGUUUGUUAUAAAAUGAAGUUUCAGUUGCUUCAAACUGUUCAUGAAUUUAUUGAGUAGUUUAAGAUGGAUGAAUUACAGAUGUAAAUCGCUGUUGUUCCUAAACUGAAGAAUCUUUCAGGGGGAAGAAAUAGCUGAACUGACGCAAAAGAGAACUGCAACUGCUUUAUUCUUUAUUUUUGCAUGGUGUGGAAGUGUAUGAAGGAUUCAACAUGGGCAGUUCUGUGCUCUGGUGGCUGCUGCUCCUCACAUGCAGCCCUCUCCUCACAGAGACCAAACACAGGAAUGGGAAAUUGAGCAGUCAGUGCUGAAUGCGUGUGAUUUUGAGCCAUUAGGUAAAAAUGAUUGGGGAUUAUCCAUCUCUUCCUCUUUGCUUCAUUAUUUGUGACUGGUACUACAAAGGUUUGUUUCAGUUGAAAUGUUUUGAUUCUCCGUGAUGUCUUUCUUCCACCUGAAGAGGAAAAACUGGGAUGGGGGAAGGCAUGGGAACAGUUAAAUUCAGAGCCUGAUUUUUUGUUUUUAAAGGAGAUAAAACCUCUUAAAAUGGUUCACUUCAGAGACUGAACAUACUUUUCUAUGCAAAUGUGGUAUUUUUAUACCUAAAAAAAAAAGGAAAAUCUUUUCUUGAUGGCAAUCAGUUAGUCAUAUAUGUUGUGUGCUUUAUAUAAAAGUAUAACCACAUGUUAUUUGGCACUUUUAUGCAUGCAUCAAAAUAAAUUUACAUGGGAACCU
ensembl:lncRNA